GCGAAUGUAAUUCAGUUGGUUAGAAAUUCAGACUGUGACUCUGGAAGCGCCGGUUCAAGUCCGGUCGUUCGCC
rnacentral:tRNA from 1 species